rnacentral:rRNA from 1 species
GUCUACCUCCAUGCCACCCUGAACAAGCCCAGUCCUGUCUGAUCUUGGAAGCUAAGCAGGGUCGGGCCUGGCUAGUACUGGUUAGUACUUGGUAUGGGAGACC